GACGGAGGAGGCAAGCGUUAUCCGGAAUUAUUGGGCGUAAAGGGUACGUAGGCGGCUGGUCAAGUCUGGGGUCAAAGGCCACAGCUCAACUGUGGAAAGGCCCUGGAAACUGACCGGCUAGAGUGAGGUUGGGGCUGCGGGAAUUCCCGGUGCAGCGGUGAAAUGCGUAGAGAUCGGGAAGAACACCUGAGGCGGAAGCGCGCAACUGGGCCUCAACUGACGCUGAGGUACGAAAGCGAGGGGAGCGAAUGGG
rnacentral:rRNA from 1 species